GACGAACGCUGGCGGCGUGCCUAAUACAUGCAAGUCGAACGCUGAAGGAGGAGCUUCCUGCUCUGGAUGAGUGGCGGACGGGGGAGUAACGCGUAGGUAACCUACCCUGUAUCGGGGGAGGACUAUUGGAAACGAUAGCUAAUACCGCAUAACAGAAGACCUCGCAUGGUAACUACUUGAAAGGUGCAAUUGCAUCACUACCAUGAGGAGCUGCGGUGUAUUAGCGAGGUGGGGAGGUAACGGCCCACCAAGGCGACGGUACAUAGCCGACUUGAGAGGGUGGUCGGCCAACCUGGGACUGGGACACGGCCCAAGCUCCUUCGGGGGGCAGCAGUAGGGGAUCUUCGGCAAUGGACGGAAGUCUGACCGAGGCACGCCGCGUGAGUGAAGAAGGUUUUCGGAUCGUAAAGCUCUGUUGUAAGAGAAGAACGAGUGUGAGAGUGGAAAGUUCACACUGUGACGGUAUCUUACCAGAAAGGGCCGGCUAACUACGUG
rnacentral:rRNA from 1 species